rnacentral:rRNA from 1 species
CGCCGGACCCGACUGCUAUCGGGGUAGGACUAAGCCAUGCGAGUCGAAGGCCCCCGGGAACGUGGUGGGCCUGGCGCACGGCUCAGUAUACGUAGCUAACCUGCCCUGGGGAGGGGGAUAAUCCCGGGAAACUGGGGCUAAUCCCCGAUAGGCCUAGGCACCUGGAAUGGGCCUAGGCCGAAACGGGCUAGCGCACAUCCCGCGCUAGCACCGCCCCAGGAUGGGGCUGCGGCCCAUAUGGUAGUUGGUGGGGUAAAGGCCCACCAAGCCUAUAACGGGUACGGGCUCUGAGAGGAGGAGCCCGGAGAUGGGCACUGAGACAAGGGCCCAGGCCCUACGGGGCGCAGCAGGCGCGAAACCUCCGCAAUGCAGGAAACCGCGAUCGGGUCACCCCGAGUCUCUCCCGCAGAGGUCGGCUUUUCCGAAACCGUAAAGGCCCCCGAAUAAGGGGAGGGCAACCCUGUUGUCAGCCGCCGCGGUAAUACCACCUCCCCAAUUGGUCGGGACAAUUAUUGGGCCUAAAGCGCCCGUAGCCGGCCCGGUGUGUCCCCUGUCAAAUCCACCGGCUCAACCGGUGGGCUGCUGGGGAUACUACCGGGCUAGGAGGCGGGAGAGGCCGGGGGUAUUCCCGGGGUAGGGGUAAAAUCCUCUGAUCCCGGGAGGACCGCCAGUGGCGAAGGCGCCCGGCCAGAACGCGCUCGACGGUGAGGGGCGAAAGCUGGGGGAGCGAACCGGAUUAGAUACCCGGGUAGUCCCACCUGUAAACGAUGCGGGCUAGGUGC